rnacentral:rRNA from 1 species
CCUACGGGGGGCAGCAGUGGGGAAUUUUGGACAAUGGGCGCAAGCCUGAUCCAGCCAUGCCGCGUGCGGGAAGAAGGCCUUCGGGUUGUAAACCGCUUUUGUCAGGGAAGAAACGCUCCGGGCUAAUACCCUGGAGUAAUGACGGUACCUGAAGAAUAAGCACCGGCUAACUACGUGCCAGCAGCCGCGGUAAUACGUAGGGUGCAAGCGUUCAUCGGAAUUACUGGGCGUAAAGCGUGCGCAGGCGGUUGUGCAAGACAGAUGUGAAAUCCCCGGGCUUAACCUGGGAACUGCAUUUGUGACUGCACGGCUAGAGUGCGGCAGAGGGGGAUGGAAUUCCGCGUGUAGCAGUGAAAUGCGUAGAUAUGCGGAGGAACACCGAUGGCGAAGGCAAUCCCCUGGGCCUGCACUGACGCUCAUGCACGAAAGCGUGGGGAGCAAACAGGAUUAGAUACCCGGGUAGUC